CCUACGGGUGGCUGCAGUGAGGAAUAUUGGUCAAUGGACGAGAGUCUGAACCAGCCAAGUAGCGUGAAGGAUGACUGUCCCAAGGGUUGUAAACUUCUUUUAUAUGGGGAUAAAAUGUUCCACGUGUGGGUUUUUGUAGGUACCUUAUGAAUAAGGAUCGGCUAACUCCGUGCCAGCAGCCGCGGUAAUACGGAGGAUGCGAGCGUUAUCCGGAUUUAUUGGGUUUAAAGGGUGCGCAGGCGGAAGGUCAAGUCAGCGGUAAAAGUGAGAGGCUCAACCUCUGCGAGCCGUUGAAACUGGUUUUCUUGAGAGAGCGAGAAGUAUGCGGAAUGCGUGGUGUAGCGGUGAAAUGCAUAGAUAUCACGCAGAACUCCGAUUGCGAAGGCAGCAUACCGGCGCUCAACUGACGCUCAUGCACGAAAGUGUGGGUAUCGAACAGGAUUAGAUACCCUGGUAGUC
rnacentral:rRNA from 1 species